UACGUAGGGGCGAGCGUUGUCCGGAUUUACUGGGCGUAAAGGGUGAGUAGGCGGUUAUAUAUGUCAGGUGUAAAAAGCUAUGGCUUAACCAUAGUAAGCACUUGAAACUGUAUGACUUGAGUGCAGGAGAGGUAAGCGGAAUUCCUAGUGUAGCGGUGAAAUGCGUAGAUAUUAGGAGGAACACCGGUGGCGAAGGCGGCUUACUGGACUGUAACUGACGCUGAGUCACGAAAGCGUGGAUAGCAAACAGGAUUAGAUACCCCCGUAGUCCCU
rnacentral:rRNA from 1 species